rnacentral:rRNA from 1 species
UACGUAGGGUGCGAGCGUUGUCCGGAAUUAUUGGGCGUAAAGAGCUUGUAGGCGGUUUGUCGCGUCUGCCGUGAAAUUUCGAGGCUACACCUCGAACUUGCGGUGGGUACGGGCAGACUAGAGUGUGGUAGGGGAGACUGGAAUUCCUGGUGUAGCGGUGGAAUGCGCAGAUAUCAGGAGGAACACCGAUGGCGAAGGCAGGUCUCUGGGCCAUUACUGACACUGAGAAGCGAAAGCAUGGGGAGCGAACAGG